CCUUCGAUAGCUCAGUUGGUAGAGCGGGGGACUGUAGAUUUAUAAUUGUGAUCCCUAGGUCGCUGGUUCGAAUCCGGCUCGAAGGA
rfam:Nematostella vectensis strain CH2 x CH6 NEMVEscaffold_1093_Cont34989, whole genome shotgun sequence.